AGCGAACGCUGGCGGCAGGCCUAACACAUGCAAGUCGAACGAACCUUUCGGGGUUAGUGGCGGACGGGUGAGUAACACGUGGGAACGUGCCUUUAGGUUCGGAAUAACUCAGGGAAACUUGUGCUAAUACCGAAUGUGCCCUUCGGGGGAAAGAUUAAUCGCCUUUAGAGCGGCCCGCGUCUGAUUAGCUAGUUGGUUGAGGUAAUGGCUCACCAAGGCGACGAUCAGUAGCUGGUCUGAGAGGAUGAUCAGCCACAUUGGGACUGAGACACGGCCCAAACUCCUACGGGAGGCAGCAGUGGGGAAUCUUGCGCAAUGGGCGAAAGCCUGACGCAGCCAUGCCGCGUGAAUGAUGAAGGUCCUAGGAUUGUAAAAUUCUUUCACCGGGGACGAUAAUGACGGUACCCGGAGAAGAAGCCCCGGCUAACUUCGU
rnacentral:rRNA from 1 species